rnacentral:lncRNA from 1 species
CCAGCAGCUUGAUGGUCCAGUGUAUAACUUGGAACACAAUUGAGCUGACUCUGAUGGGCUUCACCAUCCCAGAACAUACAAUCCGUGACUAAAUGGAGGGCAUCACCUGUGCUCUAAAGGCCAGACUGGCACCUGCUAACAAGGUCUGCAAGGUAAAACAUUGUCCCCCUCCAGAAUCCAGACUUUGAUCUCAUCUUUUAGCAGCAUCUUAGACCAGUGUGUUUAUGUGGGUGUUCAGGCCUCCAAAGCCUUCACAAACAGCAACGGGCAGGAAGCUUUCUUAUGAAAAAGAAAAGGAAAAAAUGCCAGUUUUCACUGGGUGAAACGACUAUUUUCUGCAUACUAGUUUGAGACUGAGCCAAAGCUGUGAAAGCGGACUAUGAUUUUUGACCCUUCUCAUAACUACUUUCCCUCAUCUGUAGAGGUGAGUAAAAUCAUGCUAAGUACACUGCACUUCUAGGCUCUGAUGAGGAGAGUCAAACAAAACCUGUAUAUAGAAGUUUUAAUGCUGAUAUGGCUAAGAUUAACCUCGGAUUGAGCCUGAGGUUUGUAGUUGAGAUCAGCUACAGCUGCAACACCUGGACCAGAGUUUCACUGGAGUCAGGGGAUCAGAUUGCUUUGGCUUGGACCCCUACUCUACUGUGGACACUUUUUCAUUAGGCUAAUCCAUGGUCCCCCAGAUUGGCCCCAACAUCACCCCAAUUUUGUGCCAUGGUUGAUGAGGUGGUGUUGCAGAGCUGGAAAAUACCCUCAGAUCUCAAAAGAAAGAUGCAAAGUCCUGUAACCAAGUUAUGCUUAUUCCUACAUGCUCACACUCAUGGCAUAUCAGGAACUCAGGGCAGCCAAUUUUUCAAGCAGUGCUAAAACAUGUAUUUCACAUUGGUGAAAGGGAGGGACACCGAGCACUUAACCCUGCUCUUAGCCCUUCCCCCAGUUUUCUCUUUCUUGAGCCUGAAUUCAACUGGAAGCAUUAUUUUUAGAGCUGUUGAAUUUAACCCCAAACUCACCCACCCUUCCAGAAUCCUACUGUUGUGCCACAGUAAUGAUGUAAUACACAGUCAUCCCAUAACCAGGACUUGUACAGCACAAAGCCCAUUUGCACCCAUCAGAGUCUGCAAGGCAGCAUCAACCGAUGACUUAUCUUCUGGAGCACUGAAGGAAUUGAGUUCUGCCGAAGAAAUUAUUUAUGAAGAUUUUCCAAGUUGCUCAGAGCUUCAGAUGGAGGAGGUUGAAUAUGACUUCUUUAAUAAAACAGGCUGGGAUGUCAUGAAUGAGUUAAAAGGUCACAGGAAGGAAAUGUUGAUUUAA